CCAAUAGCGUAUAUUAAAGUUGUUGCAGUUAAAAAGCUCGUAGUUGAAUUUCGAGAUCAAUUUGUCGGUCGUGCCUCGGUACGUACUGGCAUUAUUGGUUUCUCCCUUCUGAAGAACCGCGAUGUCAUUAAUUUGGUGUCGUGGGGAAUCAGGACUGUUACUUUGAAAAAAUUAGAGUGUUUAAAGCAGGCGCACGCUUGAAUACAUUAGCAUGGAAUAAUGAAAUAGGACGUUUGAUUCUAUUUUGUUGGUUUCUAGGAUCGACGUAAUGAUUAAUAGGGAUAGUUGGGGGCAUUAGUAUUCAAUUGUCAGAGGUGAAAUUCUUGGAUUUAUUGAAGACUAACUACUGCGAAAGCAUUUGCCAAGGAUGUUUUCAUUAAUCAAGAACGAAAGUUAGGGGAUCGAAGACGAUCAGAUACCGUCGUAGUCUUAACCAUAAACUAUGCCGACUAGGGAUCGGAUGAUGUUAAUUUUUUAAUGACUCAUUCGGCGCCUUACG
rnacentral:rRNA from 1 species